GUCAGAAGGGGGAAGAUUGCAAGAGUCAAAACUGGGAAGAAAAGGAAGGCGAUGCAAUAUUUUAUGGGUGGCAGAAGAAAAGAUUCUUCUAUUUCCAGAUGUCUCAUGGCCCUUUCAAGUGCAGAGGAAGAUGUUACGGCAGAGAUUUUAUGAUUCUUGGCUUCAAAAUCACAUCAAAAUUGUGUUUUAUCUGACAUCAAAAGAACAAGCUGUAUCCUCAUCAUCGUCAUCAUGCUAAAGAUCUUGUGUUUGCUUGGAUCAGUAACUGUGCAAAUAAGGCAGCUAUAGAGAAUAAAACAUCAUAGUUGUGCCGUUAGGCUUUCUCUGUGGUUUAUCAGCUUCUUAGCAGUCAGCAAUAUGAAGAAAAAGAUCUAAUACACUGUUUAUGUUCUGGAUUAGACCUUCAUAAAAACAAAUGUAUACAACUUUUUCUUAAGCUCAGCCCCUAGAUAAUGCUGAGAUUUUGUCCCAUAAGACCUCCAAUUAUUUUGAUAAUAUUCAUUCAAGCUAUGUUUCAAAACUCUAAUCUUAGUUGAACCAUUCCUUCCUGGAGAACAUUAAAAUAAAGAUCAGCACCUAAUUUAUUGCAGGUUGUUAGCAUUGCUCCUGCAACAGUUUUAUUUAUAAUAAUUGGUUUGAUUGGGGGAGAGUUAGAUAAGAUGUUAGGAAGAAUUUUUUUACAGUAAGGGCAAUGAGGCACUGGCACAGGUUGUCCAAAGAAGUCAUGGAUGCCCAUCCCUGGAGGUGUUCAAGGACAGGUUGGAUGAGGCUGUAAGAAACCUGAUCCAGUGGAAGGUGUUCCUGCCCAUGUCAGGGUGUUGGUACUGGAUGAUCUUUAAGGUGCCUUUCAGCCUAAACCAUUCUAUGAUUCUGUGGUUUUGGUGGACCUCAUCAAACUGGAUUUCAGCAAAGCAAUUUAAAAGGUGCCAUGUGGGUAAUUAUUACAAAAAGGGUCUGGCUGACACAGAGACAAAAGGUGCUGAAAGGGAAAUUGUCAGGGCAGAGGGAGGUUACAAGCACAGUUUCUCAAGCUUCACUCUUAGCCAGUCUUAACUGAACAUAUUCACCAUCAACAUUUGCACAAGAAGGAGCACAUUAAUGAAAUUUGCUGUUGAUACAAAGCUGGGAAGAACAGCAGAAUGUUUCACAGGAAGAACUCAGAGAGCCAAUUACUGGGAAUUACUCUGAAGAUAUUUCAUUAUACAAAGCUUAAGAUCAUGUAAUUAAAAGGGGAUUGUGUUUCCUGAAUGAGAUCUGGUGGAAAUGAGGAGACAGGAAGUCUGGUUGAAGGUGAAGCCUUAGAAAUUUGAAAUCUUAAUUUGUUCAUGAACUGAACACAUCCUACAGCUUCUUUCAGCUAUUUCUCUCACUUUUAAAUUAUUCUUCCAGUUAAAAAAUUACUUUCUGCAGGUGGCAGGUAUAAAAUCAUAGAAUCAUACUAUACUUUGGGUUGUAAAGGACCUUACAGACCACCCAGUUCCAAACUCCUGCCAUGGGCAGUUACACCUUCCACUGGAUCAGGUUUCUUAUAGCUCCAUCCAACCUGGCCUUGAACACCUCCAGGGAUGGAGCAUCCAUGACUUCUCUGGAUAACCUGUGCCAGUGGAUCAGGUUGCUCAAAGCUUCAUCCAACAUAAUCUUGAAUACCUCCAGGGAUUGGGCAUCCACCAGGUCUCUGGGCAACCUGUGCUUGUGCUUCACCUCCCUCACAGUAAAGAAUUUCUUCCUAAUAUACCAUCUAAAUCUCCACUCUUUUAGCUUAAAACCAUUCCUCCUCAUCCUGUCUCUGCACUCCCUGAUAAAAAGCCCCUCCCCACCUUUCCUGCAGGCUCCUUUUAAGUACUAGAAGGCUGCUACUAGGUUUCUGUGGAGCUUUCUCUUCUCUAGGCUCAAUAAUUCCUGCUCACUCAGCCUGUUCUUAUAUGGGAGAUGCCCCAACACAUUCCUGCUUGGCCGUAGCCAGAGACAUCUCUGAGUAUGGGAAAAAGUCAUGCUAAGCAAAGAUGCUCUCCUUCUACCUGCAGAGCUUACUCAGACUAACUCUUUAUUUCAAGGAAAAGACUUUUCAGAGUCAUCCAGACAUCAGAUGUGUUCCCAGCAUGAAAGGUUGCUUUUCCCCCACCCACGCACUCUGGAAAAGUCUUUCCUGCCCUUUCAUUGCCCACAAAGGUCCCUCAGAAGGGCUGGCUGCAGAGAAGCACUCCCACACAACUGGUGACAUUUAAGCCGUGUGGCAGAUCCCUUUGCACACAGAUCCUGUUCCCACCAAACACAAUAGCAGACUCUGAUGGGUGCAGGAUGAAACCCGGGGCGACAUUUUCUUCCACCCUACGCUUCUUUGCUGAGUGAAACUUUUGUAAGAAGGCAGAGGCCAGAAAGUCCUUGGCGUUCCACCUCUGAAGCCCCUAGUCCCACAGUUGGCUGACUCCAUGCUGCAGUGGUCCACAACCCCUCACAUGCUUCUUUCCCUACUAACAGUGAAACAACCCCCGUGUGCUCCAUCCAGAAUGAACAAAACCACAAUAAAUUCAGGUAAAACAUGAGUUUUGGACAAGAAAAAAUUGUUGAAUGAUAUUGGUAAGCCAUAACACCGUCUUUCUGUCAGGUACAUAAUCAUCCUUCCCAUGGGGAUGUGGUAUUCUUGUCCCCAUGGGAAGGAGCAUGAUGUCCCUGCCUGAAACAUGAAAACCACCACCAGAGGAAAAGUAAACUGAAGCAAUGUCUGAUUGGUAAUUCAUUAGAAAAAUAGCCUUUUACAUCAAUUUACAGAAACCAAAGCUUUGUUGAAACAUCCUGAUUUCAAACAUGUAUUUAUCGGAAAAGUUUCUUUGACAGUGGAAAUUUGACACACCAACAGUUGGGCUUGUUCAGUCUGGAGAAGAGAAGGCUCUGGGGAGACUUAAGAGGGGUCUACAAGAAAGAUAAGGAUGGGACCUUUAUCAGGGAGAGCAGGGACACGAUGAGGGGGGAGGGUUAUAAGCUUAAAUAGGCAGGAUUUAUAUGAGAUAUUGGGAAAAAAAAAUUGUUACUGUGAGGGUGGGAAGGAACUGGCACAGGUUGCCUAGAGAAGCUGUGGAUGUUUCAUCCCUGGAGGUGUUCAGGGCCAGGCUGGAUGAGGCUCUGAGCAACCCGAAGCAGUGAAAGGUGUCCCUGCCCAUGGCAUGGAAUUGAAACUGGAUGGGCUCUAAGGUGUCUUCCAACCCAAACCAUUGUAUUUCUAAUAAUCUAUUGAAACUCACCCCUUUCUCUAUGAUGGCAACUAUAGUUCUACUUCAGCUCAGGGUUUCAGACAAGCCUUUAAUAAACUUUUGCAGAUGUGAACAUUUUUGUCCUCCUGUGACCUGCUCAAAGCAGUAACUGCAUCUGGAUUCACAGGUAAGGGGAUGGAAAAAUAAAAAAAAAAAUUGUAUCAUCACUAAAUUAAUUUCUUUAUCUAUGCUACCUGUGGAAAAUCACCAAAUCUGUGAUAAUGUGGUAUAACAUAGUUACAGGAAAUUGUUUAUGAUAAGCUGGAACAUUGCAUUAUACCUUAUUACUGCUGUCACUCCCAUAACAGCUAACAAGCUUCAUACUCCUAUCACGUGUCAAUAGUUCAUGAACACCCUCUUUGUACUGGAGUUAGCCAGGCUUGCCAGAAAAAUACCAGCUCCUCAUCAAAUCUGUAUGAACAGUGAUUUCCAGAACUGAAAUAAGUGCGAAGGAGCAAACACCAGUUAACACGUAUUAGAUAUUUUCAUUACAUGUGCUAUCUACAUGGAGUAUUUCACAUUGUGAUCAUUUGCUUAGUGAAGUAACUGAGGCACUUAACUUCUUGUAGAUCUCUUGUGAUGCACUUAUCUUUUAAAUGGAAUUUACUGCUAAAAACAUAAACAUUGUCUAUCAAAUGUUCGUGGAUGAACAUUCAUUGUCUCCCCUUGAGCCACAAUCACUUAAUUACCAACAGAGAUCUUUAGAUUAAAAAAAAAAAAACCACAGGAGAAGCCUGCUUCAUGACUCAACCUAUUCCCCCUGAGUCCAAAAUCAAUCUGCACCCAAAGCCUCACUGAAAAUCUUAUCCUGGGAAUAAUCAGUGUUGAUAAGAGUGUUUGGGGCAUGUUAAGAUGUUUCUUUUCUCUUGUUCAAUCAUUUACUUUUAAAAGCCCACACUGCCUUUAACAGCAGGCACAACGCACAUGGAACCUAAUAGUCACUGUGUGAGACAGGAAAAAACAUUGUCAGGGUGGAAAAGAUCAGGUUCCUAAUUCUAAUGUCACCAACACGCUUUUCCUGUGUACCUACAGACAAGGCACAGCCUAAACUUCUCAUAUGUGCUGUACACUGGCUUCAGAAUCAGUACUUACACACUGAUUUUAAGAGGCUUAAUUUACUUCAGCUCAUUAGUUUUUCUACUGUACAGAGCAGAACAGGGAAUGGAAAUGAACAGUAUUAUUCAUAAAAACCCUACACACAUGCACAUCCAUACAUGUGCAUAUCCCCUAGGAAUCUUGCUCCUAAUACCAAUCAUACCGUCCUUCCAUUCUUUGCUGCUCUUUGGUCCACUUCCUUUUUACUCCAGGAAAGCAAAGAAGUUUUUACCCACUCAUCAUACAUUUAUCCAGGCUGUGAAAUCUUCUCUUCCCAAGGCCUGUGCACAUCGUGUUGGCACACUACCAAAACCCACUAACAUACAGCAGAUUAAGUGGAAACACGGAAAAGAAUUUCAAGCAUGUAUUAUACUUGCUUGGAGUUCAGCACACAACUUCUAAGACUAGGGCUGCCCUCUAAACAGGCAGGCCUGGGAAUUCAGUUGCAAAAUAAUUACAAAAGCAAGGAAAAUACCUUUCCUCUGAGAAAGAAACUUGAUGACGCUCUGCAGUCUUCGCUAGGCUUCUUUCUCUGUGUGCUCUGGAAUUGCUCAGCAUGGUCUGUGAUUUCUUGAGGCCAUGGUUCCCAUCUCCAGCACUGUUCUCCGAGGAAGUUAUAUCAUAGUAGCUAGAAUAGUUAUGUCAGCCUCUUAAAAAUGCAGGAGCAGGGGACUGUAAUCUUUUCAAGCCACAAGCCAAAUAGCCCCUCUAUACCCAUCUGCUGCUCUUCAUUAAGGUAUGAGAAUAAUGAGGCACUCAAUUCAGUUCUGCAGCUUAUCAGCUGUCAUCAUCGGCCGGACAAUAAAACAACUAGUGCCAUGCCUACAUAUUGUCCAGUUACUUGUGUUUCCUUGAUGAGCAAUGUUGGCUGCACAGCUCUCCCUCUCACUGUUUAAAGAUCUGAAGAUAAAAAAGCCCCGUUUAAAACACCAAAGCAAAUACACUUAGCAUGCAAUUCCAUUCGGCACAAGAAUUCUGCCCACAUUAUUCCCUCUCCAAAACCAACCUGGAAUGUCUGCAUAGGGCAUACCGUAGAAAGAGGCUCUCCCAGCCCCAAUUACAUUUAAACUUGCUGCAUACAUUGUUUUUUAUUCCAUAGGUUUAACGACCCUAAAGUCAAUUAAAAAAAAAUGUGACUUUUUAGUCUAACAGGUUAUUUUCAGCUUUAACUAAUCUGAGCUCAUGACUGGCUUUGGAAGUACAACAAUUAUAUGAAACCCUAGAUUUUUUAUUACUGCAAAAAAAAAACUUAUCCUACUACUGUAACAGGUGGAGACAAAACAACGCUGAAAGAAAACAAACAGCACUGAGGAUAUUAAUACAUCUUUUAUGUAUCUGAAUGUCCUUCCAAAUAAGCAACUGAAAUGAGACUGAAAGUGCAAUCCAAGUCUAAUAUAAAUACAAGAAUUAUCUGCAUUGAAAUUCCAUAACUUUUCUUUAUUUGCUGUGAUACAUUCAAACAAAAGUGCUCCAGAUAACAGCCAUAAAGUAAAGGAAAUUAAAAUAAAAAGGCAGAAAAAGACCAUCAGAUACAUAUGGUGAUUAUUCAUAUUUCAAAGCAUUAGUAACUGCUUGUAUCUGAGUGCACCAAAAGCCCACAGGAGGGUCCAUGUUUUUGUAUGCUGCACCUAUAAAAAUAACAAUCAUAGGCAGCUCUAGCAAAAAAUGUUUUUUCAGAACUAGAGCCAAAGCCAUCACAAAGAUAAAGCACCAUCAGGCAAAGGUUUGCAAAUGCCAUAGUAAUUAGUAGAGUGUACAAAAGGCUUAGCUGAAUUAACACGUUCCUUGUAUUUGUACAGCAAGGGAUGCUCUGCUUGGAUUCAUUCUUUCCCAGUGCUGCUGUUUCACACCAGGGACUUGCAUUUGCCCUACAAAGCCAGGCAACACGGGCAACUUUGUAGUGCUGAGGAGUCAGUGAGAGAUGGAUGGAAGAGAAACUGGAACUGGAGGUAAUGUCUAUCCUCCUAUUUAAAGACAUAAUAUUGGCAGUGCAGCAUGUACUUAUCCAUGUCACUGCAAUGCAGUGGCACAAUCCACCCGAGAAACAGUCUUCAUACAUUGACUUCUCAAUGCUGCUUGCUGAGCUACAAGUAUUUGGCUGCAUUGAUUUUACCUAUAAAGAAUAGUGUUUGUUUUAAACUCCAAUUCUGCUGUAGCAAAAAUGUGUCACUCUAAGACAGCAGAGCAUCACUUCAUAGCAAACUCAAAUUGCACACUACAACAUGGCUCUAUUCCAGCUGCAGAAUUCCUGAACUGUGCAUUUGCCAAGAAUUAAUUGUAACUCAACAGUUUGAUCGCAAGGAAGAUUCCUACCCCAAGCAACACAAGAAAUAGAAGUCAAGAUGCCGUACAAAUUAUACUGUCAAUGGGAUACGAUAAAGAGAUGUUAAUAAAUCUCUGCCAGCUGUAUUUUUAGGUAGAACAGGAUGGAUUUUCAACAAAAACAAAAAGGAGGAAAAACUCAGUAGAACCUUUGUCUUGCUCUCCCCAGGCUGCAAUUCAGAUGGCCAGCAAGACUAAAGUCAGGCUUCCCCUGUGAAAAUCCAAGGUGCCAACACAAGAUUUUCCUUAAAAUGUCUAAGCAGGUCAUAUCAGAAAACCAGGCUCUGUCCCUGUGCACCUUCUAUAGUGGUAUGUUCAAAGGGACCCUGCUAGGUGUAAGGUCAUGCCCCAGCUGCUGUAAAGAUUUUAGCCCAUGUAUGAUUUGUGUUUCCCAAAGCAGG